CGGGUGAGUAAUGUAUGGGAACUUGCCUAGUAGUGGGGGAUAACGUGUGGAAACGCACGCUAAUACCGCAUACGCUCUACGGAGGAAAGCGGGGGAUCUUCGGACCUCGUGCUACUAGAUGGGCCUAUAUCAGAUUAGCUAGUUGGUAAGGUAAUGGCUUACCAAGGCGACGAUCUGUAGCUGGUUUGAGAGAAUGAUCAGCCACACUGGGACUGAGACACGGCCCAG
rnacentral:rRNA from 1 species